CCUACGGGAGGCAGCAGUAGGGAAUAUUGCUCAAUGGGGGAAACCCUGAAGCAGCAACGCCGCGUGGAGGAUGAAGGUUUUAGGAUUGUAAACUCCUUUUGUUAGAGAAGAUUAUGACGGUAUCUAACGAAUAAGCCCCGGCCAACUCCGUUCCAGCAGCCGCGGUCAUACGGAGGGUGCAAGCGUUUCUCGGAAUCACUGGGCGUAACGGGUGCGGAGGCGGGGUAAUAAGUCAGAUGUGAAAUCCUGUAGCUUAACUACAGAACUGCAUUUGAAACUGUUACUCUGGAGUGUGGGAGAGGUAGGUGGAAUUCCUGGUGUAGGGGUGAAAUGCGUAGAGAUCAAGAAGAAUACUCAUUGCGAAGGCGACCUGCUGGAACGUAACUGACGCUGAUGCACGAAAGCGUGGGGAGCAAACAGGAUUAGAUACCCCGGUAGUC
rnacentral:rRNA from 1 species